CCCUACGGGGCGCAGCAGGCGCGAAAACUUUACAAUGCGGGAAACCGUGAUAAGGGGACACCGAGUGCCAGCAUCAUAUGCUGGCUGUCCAGAUGUGUAAAAUACAUCUGUUAGCAAGGGCCGGGCAAGACCGGUGCCAGCCGCCGCGGUAACACCGGCGGCCCGAGUGGUGAUCGUGAUUAUUGGGUCUAAAGGGUCCGUAGCCGGUUUGGUCAGUCCUCCGGGAAAUCUGAUGGCUCAACCAUUAGGCUUUCGGGGGAUACUGCCAGGCUUGGAACCGGGAGAGGUAAGAGGUACUACAGGGGUAGGAGUGAAAUCUUGUAAUCCCUGUGAGACCACCUGUGGCGAAGGCGUCUUACCAGAACGGGUUCGACGGUGAGGGACGAAAGCUGGGGGCACGAACCGGAUUAGAUACCCGGGUAGUCCCAGCCGUAAACGAUGCUCGCUAGGUGUCAGGCAUGGCGCGACCGUGUCUGGUGCCGCAGGGAAGCCGUGAAGCGAGCCACCUGGGAAGUACGGCCGCAAGGCUGAAACUUAAAGGAAUUGGCGGGGGAGCACAACAACGGGUGGAGCCUGCGGUUUAAUUGGACUCAACGCCGGACAACUCACCGGGGACGACAGCAAUAUGUAGGCCAG
rnacentral:rRNA from 1 species